GGCGGAUCAUAACUUUUGAUCUGUAACUCCAAUUCUGAAUCCGCGAAGUGCUACCGGUUCGUCUCGAUGUCCUCUUUCUAUCCUAGAUGUUUGAGCUAGAUCCAAUGGUGAUUUUUAGAUGGCUCGUUUUAGGAGGCUCGAUUUAUGAUCAAUGUUCUUGAAAAAGUACUUAGAUUGUACCGAGCCGAAAAAAGGAUAGACGACGAGCCUAGAGUGAAGAGCCUAGAAGAUAAUACUUUUGUUUACGUUCUACUUUGUAACACUCGUUCAUGCCUCGGCAAUGGCGUCCGGUGCCUAAAACCCACCAACGUCGGGACCGGGGUGUGACAGAAUAGGCCAACCGGUGGCCAGAGCUCUGCAUUGUCAUCCUCGACGUCUCUGUUGUGUUAGCUUUUAUGGAGGAGUGCUGCUGAAAGAGAAUCGGAGGAGAGAAGGCGACUGCCUCUUCGAUCGGGUUUCCGAUUCUUGUCACGGUGGCGAGCGUGACUGGUAUGGAUAACUUAGUCUCGUCGUCCCCAUCCUCCAUGUGAUCUUACUUUCAGCAAAGGAGCUCCGGUGAAGGAGAAUCGAGCAGAAGGAGAGACUGGGUUCGCCGGCGAGUUCUCGAUCCCGGCCACGGUGGCGGACAUGGAUGAUGCUGGUGGCUUCGUCUUGGUCUCGUCGACGUCAUUGUGCGUUCAGCUUGCAGAGAUGAGGUCCGGUGAGAGAGAAUCAAAGGGAGGAAGAUUUGAGUUUCUCGGCGUUGUUCUUCGUUUUUCGGCGACGAUUGAUUUCGAUCAAGGGAGUGACCACUGUGAGUUCCACUGUGCACGGCGGGUCUGCGGCGACGGCGAUCGUGUUUUGGUAUUUGUUUGGUAAUUUCCAAUUGAAUGAAACUACAGGACAUGAUUUUGAUAUUGUUAUGCUUGGAUUUUAGUUUUGUUAAGGAAUGAAGAAUCUGACUUUUGGCAGUGAGUUUAGUUUGUUGUUCAUGGUGAUGAAAUUGUGUUUAGCUACUUAGUUUCAACCUUGAUAUGAAGAUUUGAGCAUGAUAUUGAUUAUGUGAUGCAUUGGAAUUAGAUGAAUUGGAGAAGGAUUGUGUUGUGUUGUUUGGAAUGAAGAGCAAUAGUGUUCUUGUAUUCAUUGUUGGAUUCAUACUUGAGAUUAAGUUGAUUUGAGUGCUUGGAUUCCAGAAAUUGGAAAGUUGGGGUGCUCUUUGUGUUCUGUUAGUAUGAAGCAGCAGUAGAGGUAUGUAAGUUGUUAUGCCUACAAUUAAGAGAUGAGAAGAUUGAUCAAGAUUGAGAUAGACAAAUAUAAAGGAUUUAGUAGAAAAGAGGAAUUGGGUGUAGAGAGUAAAUUCGGUGGUUAGCUUGGUGCUUGGAGCAUGAUGGGAUACGACUAAUUAUGGGUGGCAUGUGAUUUGGUAAUUGUGAAGAAAAGGUGAGCGGAAUUGGAAAUAAGGCAAUGUGGGUGUCCUUAACAAUUCCGGCAUAAAUGUCGGUUACUUCAAAGUAAGGGUGUACGAGGAUGGAAUGAGAGACACGAGCUUGCAGAAGCAGAAUGAUAAGGAUUUCAGAACGCGUGUCACUGAGUUACUAAUUUUAGUUAACGUCGGAGCUAGCAUUUGGAUUCCAGAUAGGGUCUCUUUAUCGGGGAACCUUUCUUUAAAUUGAUAAAUAGGUUAUUAUUGAAAUCGAUGCAUUGUGUGGCAUUGAUUGGUUAAUUGUUGAUUGUUAUCGUUUUCGAUAAAGA